rnacentral:tRNA from 13 species
GGGUACGUAGCUCAGUUGGAUAGAGCAUCCGCCUUCUAAGCGGACGGUCACAGGUUCGAGCCCUGUCGUACCCA